UACGGAGGAUGCAAGCGUUAUCCGGAUUUAUUGGGUUUAAAGGGUGCGCAGGCGGAGAGAUAAGUCAGUGGUGAAAAACUGCCGCUCAACGGUAGUCUUGCCAUUGAUACUGUCUUUCUUGAGUAUGGAUGAGGUAGGCGGAAUGUGCAGUGUAGCGGUGAAAUGCAUAGAUAUUGCACGGAACACCAAUUGCGAAGGCAGCUUACUGGACCAUUACUGACGCUCAGGCACGAAAGCGUGGGGAUCAAA
rnacentral:rRNA from 1 species